GGAGCCCCCAGGGUGGAGGAGACGGACCAGAGAGCGCCUCUCCUUGGAGGUAUCCACCGUGCUCUGCUCCCCAGUUGCCACCUGGCCCAUCGCGCUUCUAGAGGGGUCGUGGGGUCAUGGGGUCACGGGGUCGCAGCACGGCGGGUCCAGACCCUGGUACUCACCAUAUGCGGCCGAGGAGAGGACGGCUGAGAAGAGGACGGCAGGUGGAACGAGGAGUCUGGAGUCUUGAUGGAAAGAGAAGACACGAGUUAGCAGAGCGCAUCGGAGCUGGGACCUCUCUCCCUCUAUCUGGGAUCCACCCUGGGCUCUGGAAAAGCCCCAGCUUCUCCGGGGGACUUAGCCGGAGGGAGAGCCCAAAGUCUCUGCGGUCGUUGCAACACCAUCGCCCCGACCCAGGAGGACAGCCAGAAGACUGUGAGCAACGUAUGGGGGCCUGGUGCCAUCGGGACUCGUCUCGGCGGGGAGGCGCAAGGUGCAACGAGCGGUUUGCCAAGCUGCGGUAACUGAAGCACAGAGAAGCGACUUGACCGAGGUCACACAGCAGAAAAGCGGUGGAGCUGAUAUUCCUGAGGACAGACCACUUGGAGGAGUGUGCCAUCAGCUAUCGUCACAAUUUGGAACAGGAUUCUCUCCCAUUUCCCCCUUCUCACCCUCAACAGUGUGAGAAACAUGUCCAGUCUUUGCAAUCAGGGGAGAUCUGAAACAACUUGUUUGAACAGAGAUGGUUAGUGGAGAGAUAGAACCAGUAAAUGAGGAAGUCUAUUCUGGGCCUUGUUGACUUCCUUGGGAGAUCAGAGAGGUCACUAGAUGGCUAUCUGUGGCUCCCACUGUACCCCUUGAGGAUUUUCACCAGGUCACCCACAGUCCUGAUGGAUCACUGCCAAAUGCUGGGACCUCCCUGGGCAAGGAAAUGCCAGCCAGAGUUUUAUCUUCAGAGUUUAUCUUCUCCUCCCUCAGCUUUUGAUAAUCUACAAAGAAAGACCUGAAUACUCGUACAACCGACCCUGCUAACAAUCUCCCUUCCCUCACCCAGUGGCCUUGAGGGGAGUUAAGUGGCAGAAGUUGGGGUUUUAAUCAUUCAGCUGUAUUUAUUGUGCACUUACUGUGUGCAGAGAACUGAACUAAGCACUUGGGACAGUACAAUGCAAUAGAGUUGGUAGGCACGAUCUUUGCACGCAAGGAGCACAAGGGGUGGUUUCUGGAGGAGAGUGAAAGCUCACUAUGGGUAGGGAACUUAUCUGUUUAUUGUUAUAUUAUACUCUCCUAAGCACUCAGUACAGUGUUCUGCACACAGUAAGCUCCCAGUAAAUGCAACUGACUGACUGACUGACUGAGCAGAGGGUGAGCGAACUGGAGGAAUGCUAAAAUUCAUGAAAGAACAAACCUGAAAUUGCUGUUUCCGAAUUCCCACAGCUCGAGACGAAGAUGAGUGGGAUUUCACAGCAGCUGUGGGGAAGUAAGUUACUCAAACACAGGCAGGGGGGUAAAAACAUAGGGAAUUUGUCCCCACUGGAGUGGCACAGACAUUUCAAGACUGUAAAGUCUUUGAGGGCGUAGAGCCUGUCUACCAACUCUACUGUACUCCCUUAAACACUUUAGUUCAGUACUCUCCACACCAGAAGCACUCAAUAAAUACCAUCGGUUGAUGGAAAAGCCUUUGGAGAAA